rnacentral:rRNA from 1 species
UGGGUAAUAUUGCGCAAUGGGCGAAAGCCUGACGCAGCGACGCCGCGUGAGGGAUGAAGGUUUUCGGAUCGUAAACCUCUGUCAGAAGGGAAGAAACCGCACUGUGCUAAUCAGCAGUGCCUUGACGGUACCUUCAAAGGAAGCACCGGCUAACUCCGUGCCAGCAGCCGCGGUAAUACGGAGGGUGCAAGCGUUAAUCGGAAUUACUGGGCGUAAAGCGCACGUAGGCUGCUUUGUAAGUCAGGGGUGAAAUCCCACGGCUCAACCGUGGAACUGCCUUUGAUACUGCUUAGCUUGAAUCCGGGAGAGGGUGGCGGAAUUCCAGGUGUAGGAGUGAAAUCCGUAGAUAUCUGGAGGAACAUCAGUGGCGAAGGCGGCCACCUGGACCGGUAUUGACGCUGAGGUGCGAAAGCGUGGGGAGCAAACAGG